AAAUUUCCAUCCUGGUCUUGGCAACCGGGCCUGCCCGCUUGUCCAUAGAAAUGAUCAUUUGUACUAUAAAAAUAACUAGACAGCGAGAUCUCACUUACCGGGCUGUCUCACUUAGCGGGUCAGCCAGUUUCGAUAUAAACAGGCCCUUACACAACUGCUAAAAGCUGCAAGUUUCUUUAAAGUAAUAUCAUCUAUAUCACAGAAUACAGUUUCUGUAGUGACAUACUUCGUGUUUUUUCUGUCUUUAAAGUGUCUUAUGUUUGUAAUAUUUUUGUACAAUACCUUUUUGAAAUUGUUGAUACUGGUCUCAUUGUAACUCAGUAGUCUCAGUUAUUCCUUCUCAAGAAAAAUAAAAAAACAAAGCUGUGUGGGUGUGUUUUUGCUCUAGUUUUUACAUCUACAUGAUUCAUGUACAAUUAAUGUACAUUUAAAUUAGCUUUGUUCAAUGAAUACAGGUGUGAUU